AAACGGGUGAGUAACACGUGGGAAUCUGCCCAAAAGUGGGGAACAACUCCUCGAAAGAGGAGCUAAUACCGCAUACGGUCUUUGUAAAAAGACUAAAGCUUCGCAAGAAGCGCUUUUGGAGGAGCCUGCGGCUGAUUAGCUAGUUGGUGGGGUAAAGGCCUACCAAGGCGAUGAUCAGUAGCUGGUCUGAGAGGAUGGACAGCCACACUGGGACUGAGAUACGGCCCAG
rnacentral:rRNA from 1 species